ACCCUCCGGUCUCCUUACUUAUCUGAUCCAAACACUGAUCUGAGUGGUUAUACGUAAAAUGAGGAAAAGCAAAACUGAAAGUGAUUUCAAUUCUUUUGUGAUACAAGCUAGUUUUAAACAACA
rnacentral:snoRNA from 1 species